rnacentral:lncRNA from 1 species
AACAGCAGCCCUUUGUCUCGUAACGGUGCCGUCCAGACUGGCCAUGAGACCAGCGAAUUUGCUGUAGAAACAGCCAUCUGGGAGUGGCUGCGUCACGCUCCUGCCAGGCACAGAACUGCCAUUGCCAAGGACUGUGCCACUGAACAGCCCGGAUAUGUGUGACAUGGUUCCCUCGGCCUGUUGCACCUUUACCUAUCACCCGCAGCAUCUAGCUGCCAGAGUGACCUUGCUUUCUUCAGCGCUGUGCCACUGAACAGCCCGGACAUGUGUGACAUUGUCUCCCAGGCCUGCGGUACUUUCGCCGA